GCUGUCCAGGAGCCUCCUACUCCUUCUCUCUCAGCGCUUCCACUUCUUUCUUUUCUCUCGAGUUCCGUACGACAUAUUUGCAGCAAAAUCAGACCAUCAGAAGAUCACUCACCACAUAAUUUACUGUUCCUGACCUUUUAUAGGCUUAAACAUGACUUAGAUUAGGUUUAGGACUCCUUGAUCAGCCCAAAUCAAGCCUCUGGACCGUCGGAUCA
rnacentral:lncRNA from 1 species